AGGCCGAGAGGCCGCCGCGGCAGGAGUCGGCCGGGGUCGCGCGGAUCGCAGGACCGUUUCCAGCGCAGGGAAACGAGGGAGCGCGCGAGCGCGGCAUGCACGUCCGGUUCCACGUGGGCCGGCCCGUCCUGGGUGGGAGGAACGCGUCCUCGGUGCUCCAGUGCCUGGCGCUGUGCGAGGUCGAACUCCUGUGAGGUCUUCCCGCCUUGUUCCACUUGGUAUUGGCAGUUGGAGAGAACCAGUGGAAUCAGGUCCCGCUCCACUUCGUAGCUGACGACAUGCAGGUUGCAUUGCCAGGCAUACAGCAGGGUGCUGGCAGAACCAGGUGGAGGAGGACACUUACCGUUGGUCUCCAGUGAUCGCCUCAGUGCAUUCCACGUGGACAGGAAGAUGGUGAUCCUGUUGUGGAACAGCUGCCUCAGCCCAUCUAUUGAGCAAGACACUUGUUUGCACAGGAAUCAACUCUAGAUGACCAAAGACCCAGAUGUAAGACCUGACCUCUGAAGCUACCAGCAGAAAAAUAGAGGAAACAUUCCAAGACAUUGGCACAGGUGAUGGUUUUCUGGAUAGAACCCCCAAACCACAGAAAGUAAGAGCAAAAUGAUCACAUCAAAAUUAAAGUCUCACACCAAAGAAAACACCCAACGGAACAGAGACAGCGUAUAGAAUGUGAGAAAUAGCUGCCAACUAUUCACCUGACAGCAGGUAAAUACCCAGAAUAUAUAACUGAAAAAUAAAUAAAUAAAUAAAUAAAAAUCAAAGUAAUACAUUUUAAGAUGAGCAAAUGAUCUGAAUAGACACUUCUCAAAAGAAAAAAUAAAAGUGGUUAACAAAUAUAUGAAAAAAUGUUCAAAUAUCAAUAGCCAUCAGGGAAAUGCAAAUAAAAACUACAAUGAGAUGCCAUCCCACCACAAUUAGAAUGGCUCUUAUAAAAAGAAGAUAGGUGUGGUGGCACACACCUAUGAUCCCAGCUACUCUGGAGGCUAAGGCAGGAGGAUCACAAGUUUGAGGUUAGCCUCAGUAAGUUCUAGUCCAGUCUGGGCAACUUAGCGAGACUCUGUCUUUAAAAAAACAAGGGCUGGGGCUAUAGCUCAGUUAGUGAGCACUUGCCUCGCAUGUGUGAGGCACUGGGUUUGAUCCUCAGCACCACAGAAAAAUAAAUAAAUAUUGUGUCCAUCUACAACUAAAAAGUGUGGAGGGCUGGGGAUGGGGGCUAUAGCUCAGUAGUAGAGCGUUGCUGACCUAGCAUGCCCAAGGUCCUGGUUCAGUCACCACUAUUCCCCAACCCCCCAAAAUAAAUGAGCCCCAAACAUAAAAUAACAAAUGUACGCAAAGAUAAAGAGAAAAAAGAACUCUAAUAUACUCCCGGUGGCAAUGUAAACUAGUACCUCAUAAUGGAAAACAGUAUGGAGGUUUCUUAAACUAAAAAAACGUUUACCAUGUGAUCCAGAUAGCCCACUCCAAAGGAAGUCAGCCUAUGUUUACGUGACACCAUUCACAAUAGCUGACAUGGAAUCUCCCUGAAGCCCAUCAGAUGAAUGGAUAAAGAAGAUGUGGUUUAUACAUAAUAGCUGAAAAUAAUUCAGCUGUAAGAAGAAUGAAUGAAGUCCUGUCAUUUUCAGCAAAAUGGAUAGAACUAGAGGAUGUUAUGUUGUUAAGUGAAACAAGCCAGACACAGACGAGAUCAGUACAUGCUAUAUGCAUACAUGGAAAUAUCACAAUUCCAUUAAUGUGUACAACUAAUUAAUUAGUAAAAGUAAAUAAUUAGGGAAAAAUAAAAAGAAAUUUGCCUCCUAGGCCCACUGUUGGGUGUGAGGCUGCUGGAAGGAAACACCAAGACCCCAGGCAGUGGUCACUGGGUUUUGUUCUGAAGAGCCAGGAUCCAGCAUCCUCAGUGAAAUGAAACUGUGUCUUGAUAAGAGAUCACAACACUAGCACCAAGUCCUUCCUAGUGUGAGCACCAGACCUUUCCAAAUCAUUCUGCUCCCUGUCAGCUAUGGUAAUGACGGUCCAUGAGGGAGGAGGUGAGAACAUCUGCUGUGGCCCAGGAGAGCUCAAGUGGGUAAAAGCUGGGGACCACUCCUGAGCCUGGCAGUAUAACUCGACAUCAUGCAGCACACUGCCUCCUGCCUGCAAGGCACAGGGAGGCCCCUGGCUGAGCAGGCACUUGCUGGUGACCAUCUGCUCAACUUCUGGGGAUGAAGACAAGAGCUGAGUGACCAGGGUGGUCCCUCCUGGUCUUUAAGUUCCUUACAGGGCACCACUAAGCCCACUUGUGCAUAUUCCACCUGUGACUUCAGCAGAUGUGUCUUUAGACCUCUGCGCUCUCCCUGAGACUCACGCUACAGGCCUUGCCUUCAGGAUCACAGUGCUGAUGGGAAGGUUAGGGUUCUGCCUCUAGGAAUGAUGACUCUGAACCCAGUCACAGCCUCCCGGUCCUCAGGAGAAGUCUAGCAGGUAAAGGAGGCAGACCAUGAGGUGGACACACCUUCUGCAGGAACUGCCAGAGCAUGGGCACCAUCUCCUUGCCGUUCUUCUGCUCCACAACAUGCUGGAGGUACUCGACUGUGAUCUUCUUCCUGCAGCUCCAAAUCUUUGAGCAAUGAACCACAUUUUUCUGGGGCAGUCGGGGCAGGAAGUUUGCUGGGUCACCAUAUAUGAUUUUGGCCACGGGGUUGGAGCUGACACGUUCAUCCUGGCUGAUGAGCGUGCUCACAGUCAGCAGGGUCUUGUCUAGAUGCUGGGUAAAGAAAUGACACAGCAUUCUGCACGUGGGGCACUGACCCAGAAAGCCGAGCAGAUGCCACAGUGGCUCCGCAGGAGUCUGCCUCUGCACCCCAGACGCUCACUUUUGCUCUCUUUCACUGUGAUUCAGGGGUUCCUUGUUCCUAAACAGAGCAGGACUCUAGGGCCUGUAUUUCACCACCCUUCACUUCCUGACUUCCCUGUCCUGCUGUGGAUAGUUGGCUCUGAUGUUCUCAGUGGAGCGCUCAUGAAUCCAGAGUGCCCGUGCAUUUCUGGAGGGUCUCUGCCUCUUACUUUCACAACCUGCUGUAAAAAGCAGUGGAGAGCAGGCUGCUGCCUGCCCUCUGAGAACUCCUGAUAAUCCUUGGCCUGACUUAUGGGACCCUUCUGGACAGAGAGCUAAGGAUUGGUCACCACUUGCCCCUUACCUCCAGUUCAGGUAGAAGAAGAGAUGCAACAUGUUUUUCCCAAUUGUUUCUCCGUUCUUUGGUUGACAAUUCCGCAUCAAAAUUUAAAUGCCCUACAAAGAAAACAAAAAUGUCUGUGUUAUCCAACAAACAAAAAACAGCAAUCUCCAUACAGUAAGCACCGAAUGACAUUAAUAGAUAGUCUUCUUUCCUUAAGUUAACCAGGUACUGCCAACACCAGCCUCCAGACCUUGUGAAGAUGCUGUAGUCUCUGGCAAACCUCCAAGCCAUAGCUGUGGUCUUUUUUAAUCUUUUUUUUUUUUUUUUUUUUUUUUUGUGGUGCUGGGGAUUGAAUCAAGGGCUUUGUGCAUACAAGGCAAGAACUCUACCAACUGAGCCGUGUCCCCAGGUCCCUACAGCUGUGGUCUUAAAGGCAUUCCAAACAAAUGGCUGAGGACAGGACGAGAACUUGACAGCCACACAGAGCCAGCUCACUGCUGCCCCCAGGCCCGUAGGCAGAGGUGGUGCCAUGAGCUGGCAGCAGGUUAGGGCUCCCAGGUCCGUGUGCUGCAGAAACCACACCACAACAGAGGCACUCGGCAAAGUUGGUCUCGCUAAGGUGGGAACUACACACUAAUGCUGUUUUCUGGCAAAGACACCCCUGAAGGGGAACAGAUUCUCUGGCUGUAGGAACAUUAUUGCAAUUGUAAUUAUCUGUAGGCUUUUAAAUAACAUGGUUCUACAGUGGUCAUCAUGAUUUUUGCAGGUAAGCAACAAACUGAAAUCCCUCCUAAUGCCACCCCGAUAACCACUUACAAAGUCCCCUUGCAAACCUAUGCUUUGGGCAUGGAUAUAAGUGUUUAGAAGAGUUAGUUGGGCAAACAGUGUUUGUAGCCUCCUUUUGUUCAUGUUACAAAUUGUAGAUGUGAAUAUACUAGGUCAGGGUACAAGUGUGACAUCUUUGGGAAAGCAGAAGUGGGACACGUGUCACUUGCUGGGGUGCAACAUGAUCCCAGGGCACAGGUUAAGGCUGUGUGCACAUGCACCAGGUGUCUGUGCUGCAGGCCUCAGUCAGGCAGGGGGUGUGUGGAGGAGUGCAGUGCCCUCCAGCCCCCGCAAGAAGAGUAGAGAGCUCACUUCCACUCGUGUCACCGCUCGGCAGGAGCCAAGGGAGCCUGGCCUCCUGGGAGUCGUGCCCAGCCCUGUCCCUUGCUUACUCUGGCCAGGGAGUGAGCACUGCUCUUUGAGAAGGCAGCGCAGGAUGAGGUGGACCACGUGGGUGGUCUCGUCGGCAGUCUUCCCCAGUGUCUUUGUUAACUGCUUCAAGUCUCUCUGGAUGUGCUGCUGCAGGAAUCCUCUUGGGUCCCUCACUGGAGGCUUGAUGAUGUUUAUCAGGGCCUGUGGGGGCAAGGACCAGGCAGAGGUGAACACCACCACUGGGAGAGGGUGGUUUCUAGGUGAGGCCAGGGUGCUCUCAGCAUGACGCAGGCAGCAGGGGACGGAAGGCAGGUGAGUGCAGUGGGAGACUGCUGACUGAUGUCAUCGUGGUGUGGCGGGGAACACUGCCUUGUACCUCCUGCAGCCACCAUGAGGUCAUAGGCAACAGGGUCCCCUGCCCUACCAUGCCCAGCUGUGGGCCGAGGACAGAGCUGUGCACUCCAAGUAGACGUUAUGAUCUGAAUGUUACAUCCUAUUAUACACGUGCUAAGAUGUCACACUGUACCCCACUAACAUGCUGUGUGUCAGUUAAAUAAAACAGAUUUUGAAAAUUUCAAAA